GACCCCUCUCACAGUAUUGAGGCCCUCUAUAACAUAUAGAGUUUUUUAUGCUAAAACUAGUAACAAGAGAUCCUCUCUCUUUAAUGCAAACAUAACCCAGCAAGAACCUAUCACUGGCAUCUACAGGAAUAAGCACUAGUAGCAACCCCACAAGAAAACCCUACUUUUCUUUCCGUUAACCUAACACCAGAGCAUUUCAAGAAAGAUUAAAAGAAGGGGAAGGAACUCAGCAAACACCAGCCCCGCCUGUUUACCAAAAACACCGCCUCUUGACCCCAUAAGAGGUCCAGCCUGCCCAGUGACUCUGUUCAACGGCCGCGGUAUCCUAACCGUGCUAAGGUAGCGUAAUCACUUGUCUUCUAAAUGAAGACUAGUAUGAAAGGCAUCACGAGGGCCAAGCUGUCUCCCCCCUCUAAUCAGUGAACCUAAUCCCCCCGUGAAGAAGCGGGGAUUUACAUAUAAGACGAGAAGACCCUAUGGAGCUUAAAACGAUAUAACACCUGCUCAGGCCCCCCCCAUUCAGAUUUUUCACCUCAGCACGCUAAUUAUAGGUUUUUGGUUGGGGUGACCGCGGAAAAAAACUAAUCCUCCACAAUGAAAGGAACCUUCCCCAACAAUAAGCUACAACUUUACAUUUCAAUAAAUUGACAUCCAUUGACCCAAUAUUUGAUCAACGAACCAAGUUACCCUAGGGAUAACAGCGCAAUCCACUUCAAGAGCCCCUAUCGACAAGUGGGCUUACGACCUCGAUGUUGGAUCGGGGG
rnacentral:rRNA from 1 species